rnacentral:rRNA from 1 species
UAAGGAAUAUUGGUCAAUGGACGCAAGUCUGAACCAGCCAUGCCGCGUGAAGGAUUAAGGCCCUCUGGGUUGUAAACUUCUUUUAUAGGGGAAGAAAUGUGACGGUUCUCCGUCACUUGACGGUACCCUGGGAAUAAGCACCGGCUAACUCCGUGCCAGCAGCCGCGGUAAUACGGAGGGUGCAAGCGUUAUCCGGAUUCACUGGGUUUAAAGGGUGCGUAGGUGGGCAGAUAAGUCAGUGGUGAAAUCUUCCGGCUUAACCGGGAAACUGCCGUUGAUACUAUUUGUCUUGAAUAUUGCGGAGGUAAGCGGAAUAUGUCAUGUAGCGGUGAAAUGCUUAGAUAUGACAUAGAACACCAAUUGCGAAGGCAGCUUACUACGCAAUCAUUGACGCUGAGGCACGAAAGCGUGGGGAUCAAACA